CGGGACACGUGGUAUCCUGUCUGAAUAUGGGGGGACCAUCCUCCAAGGCUAAAUACUCCUGACUGACCGAUAGUGAACCAGUACCGUGAGGGAAAGGCGAAAAGAACCCCGGCGAGGGGAGUGAAAAAGAACCUGAAACCGUGUACGUACAAGCAGUGGGAGCCUCUUUAUGGGGUGACUGCGUACCUUUUGUAUAAUGGGUCAGCGACUUAUAUUCUGUAGCAAGGUUAACCGAAUAGGGGAGCCGAAGGGAAACCGAGUCUUAACUGGGCGUUAAGUUGCAGGGUAUAGACCCGAAACCCGGUGAUCUAGCCAUGGGCAGGUUGAAGGUUGGGUAACACUAACUGGAGGACCGAACCGACUAAUGUUGAAAAAUUAGCGGAUGACUUGUGGCUGGGGGUGAAAGGCCAAUCAAACCGGGAGAUAGCUGGUUCUCCCCGAAAGCUAUUUAGGUAGCGCCUCGUGAAUUCAUCUCCGGGGGUAGAGCACUGUUUCGGCAAGGGGGUCAUCCCGACUUACCAACCCGAUGCAAACUGCGAAUACCGGAGAAUGUUAUCACGGGAGACACACGGCGGGUGCUAACGUCCGUCGUGAAGAGGGAAACAACCCAGACCGCCAGCUAAGGUCCCAAAGUCAUGGUUAAGUGGGAAACGAUGUGGGAAGGCCCAGACAGCCAGGAUGUUGGCUUAGAAGCAGCCAUCAUUUAAAGAAAGCGUAAUAGCUCACUGGUCGAGUCGGCCUGCGCGGAAGAUGUAACGGGGCUAAACCAUGCACCGAAGCUGCGGCAGCGACGCUUAUGCGUUGUUGGGUA
rnacentral:rRNA from 2 species